rnacentral:rRNA from 1 species
UACGUAGGUGGCGAGCGUUGUCCGGAAUUACUGGGUGUAAAGCGCGUGUAGGCGGGAGGCCAAGUCUGUGGUGAAAUCGCUCGGCUUAACUGGGCGGGGUCCAUGGAAACUGGUCACCUGGAGGUCGGUAGAGGCAAGUGGAAUUCCCGGUGUAGUGGUGAAAUGCGUAGAGAUCGGGAGGAACACCAGUGGCGAAGGCGGCUUGCUGGGCCGGACCUGACGCUGAGGCGCGAAAGCGUGGGGAGCGAACAGG